rnacentral:rRNA from 1 species
GAUGAACGCUGGCGGCGUGCCUAAUACAUGCAAGUCGAACGAAACUUCUUUAUCACCGAGUGCUUGCACUCACCGAUAAAGAGUUGAGUGGCGAACGGGUGAGUAACACGUGGGCAACCUGCCCAAAAGAGGGGGAUAACACUUGGAAACAGGUGCUAAUACCGCAUAACCAUAGUUACCGCAUGGUAACUAUGUAAAAGGUGGCUAUACUACCGCUUUUGGAUGGGCCCGCGGCGCAUUAGCUAGUUGGUAGGGUAAAGGCUUACCAAGGCAAUGAUGCGUAGCCGAAUUGAGAGGUUGGUCGGCCACAUUGGGACUGAGACACGGCCCACACUCCUACGGGAGGCAGCAGUAGGGAAUCUUCCACGAAGGGCGAAAGCCUGAUGGAGCAACGCCGCGUGGGUGAAGAAGGUCUUCGGAUCGUAAAACCCUGUUGUUAGAGAAGAAAGUGCGUGAGAGUAACUGUUCACGUUUCGACGGUAUCUAACCAGAAAGCCACUGCUAACUACGUG